rnacentral:rRNA from 1 species
GCAGUCGAACGGGAACCUUUUAUUGAAGCUUCGGCAGAUUUAGCUGGUUUCUAGUGGCGGACGGGUGAGUAACGCGUGGGUAACCUGCCUUAUACAGGGGGAUAACAGUCAGAAAUGACUGCUAAUACCGCAUAAGCGCACAGAGCUGCAUGGCUCGGUGUGAAAAACUCCGGUGGUAUAAGAUGGACCCGCGUUGGAUUAGCUAGUUGGUGAGGUAACGGCCCACCAAGGCGACGAUCCAUAGCCGGCCUGAGAGGGUGAACGGCCACAUUGGGACUGAGACACGGCCCAGACUCCUACGGGAGGCAGCAGUGGGGAAUAUUGCACAAUGGGGGAAACCCUGAUGCAGCGACGCCGCGUGAAGGAAGAAGUAUCUCGGUAUGUAAACUUCUAUCAGCAGGGAAGAAAAUGACGGUACCUGACUAAGAAGCCCCGGCUAACUACGUGCCAGCAGCCGCGGUAAUACGUAGGGGGCAAGCGUUAUCCGGAUUUACUGGGUGUAAAGGGAGCGUAGACGGAUGGACAAGUCUGAUGUGAAAGGCUGGGGCUCAACCCCGGGACUGCAUUGGAAACUGCC